rnacentral:rRNA from 1 species
GACGAACGCUGGCGGCGUGCCUAAUACAUGCAAGUAGAACGCACAGUUUAUACCGUAGCUUGCUACACCAUAGACUGUGAGUUGCGAACGGGUGAGUAACGCGUAGGUAACCUGCCUGGUAGCGGGGGAUAACUAUUGGAAACGAUAGCUAAUACCGCAUAAUAUUAAUUAUUGCAUGAUAAUUAAUUGAAAGGUGCAAUUGCACCACUACCAGAUGGACCUGCGUUGUAUUAGCUAGUAGGUGAGGUAACGGCUCACCUAGGCGACGAUACAUAGCCGACCUGAGAGGGUGAUCGGCCACACUGGGACUGAGACACGGCCCAGACUCCUAAGGGAGGCAGCAGUAGGGAAUCUUCGGCAAUGGACGAAAGUCUGACCGAGCAACGCCGCGUGAGUGAAGAAGGUUUUCGGAUCGUAAAGCUUUGUUGUAAGAGAAGAACGGGUGUGAGAGUGGAAAGUUCACACUGUGACGGUAUCUUACCAGAAAGGGACGGCUAACUACGUG